CUAGCCACGAGGAAGUCUCCCUCCCUAUUUUUCCAGGCUGAGGUACAGACGGUGGGAGAGGACAGGAGACGGGAGACAGAUGUUAUUUUAUUUCACAUGAUCAUUUCAUCCAAACACAUGGGCUCUGUAUGGAAUGCAGGAACUUUAUGGGACACAGGCCAGCUCCAGAGCAUCUGUGCAGCACCUGGGACUAAGGAAACUGAUGUGUGUGCUAAACCAUGGCCUCAUCCUCAAAGUAACCUAAAGUGAAUCAGGAAGUGUGUAGAAAUAAUCCCACCCCCCAUGCUGUGAGACAGUCUCUGCCCUCUCCCUGUGUACUAGAAGGCCAGCAUCCUGGAGUUGCCUCUUCACUGUUGAUGUUGAGACUGGUGUUUUGCGGGUACUAUUUAAUGAAGCUGCCAGUUGAGGACUUGUGAGGCGUCUGGUUCUCAAACUAGACACUCUAAUGUACUUGUCCUCUCGCUCGGUUGUGCACCGGGGCCUCCCACUCCUCUUUCUAUUCUGGUUAGAGACAGAUUGCGCUGUUCUGUGAAGGGAAUAGUACACAGCGUUGUGCGAGAUCUUCAAUUUCUUGGCAAUUGCUCGCAUGGAAUAGCCUUCAUUUCUCAGAACAAGAAUAGACUGACGAGUCUCAGAAGAAAGUUCUUUGUUUCUGGCCAUUUUGAGCCUGUAAUCGAACCCACAAAUGCUGACGCUCCAGAUACUCAACUAGUCUAAAGAAGGCCAGUUUUAUUGCUUCUUUAAUCAGAACAACAGUUUUCAGCUGUGCUAACAUAAUUGCAAAAGGGUUUUCUAAUGAUCAAUUAGUCUUUUAAAAUGAUAUACUUGAAUUAGCUAACACAACGUGCCAUUGCAACACAGAAGUGAUGGUUGCUGAUAAUGGGCCUCUGUAAGCCUAUGUAGAUAUUCCAUUAGAAAUCUGCCCUUUCCAGCUACAAUAGUCAUUUACAACAUUAACAAUGUCGACACUGUAUUUCUGAUCAUUGUGAUGUUAGUUUAAUAGACAAAAAAUGUCUUUCAAAAACAAGGACAUUUCUAAGUGACCCCAAACUUUUGAACGGUAGUGUAUAUACCUAAAUUGGAAUAUUCAUACGUUUAAAAAAAAAAAAAUACCUGCAGUCAACUUGUGCACUAGGUAAUAGAUAAAGCAGAUCAUCAUUUCGCCUCUCACAUAAUUUUUAUUAUGAAGCUUAAGGGUACUAGUGUCCCAAAACAGUUGUUUGAGGCAAAGUGUCCCAAAACAGUUGUUUGUUUACAAAGAAGCACAACGAGCAAAACGGGAGCUUCUUGAGGUCAGCUACUUCUGCAGCGCAACUUAAGUGAGGUGAUCAAGUUACACUUGUAUGAAAUUCACUACUAAUGUUUGCCAGCUAUUAAGUUAACUAUCUAAUGUGCCAAAUCUAAUUUGAGAAAUUAUCUCGAGCUGGGUUUUUCUAACUUGCUAAUGCUAGCUAAGUUGCUCACAUUAGCUUGCAAGAUCAAGCUUCAAUGUAACUGCAGCAGAGACAAUCCCCUCCUGGAUUAAGGUCCCUACUAUCUAAUAUUUAUUUUGUG
ensembl:lncRNA